rnacentral:rRNA from 1 species
GACGAACGCUGGCGGCGUGCUUAACACAUGCAAGUCGAACGGAAAGGCCCUGCUUUUGUGGGGUGCUCGAGUGGCGAACGGGUGAGUAACACGUGAGUAACCUGCCCUUGACUUUGGGAUAACUUCAGGAAACUGGGGCUAAUACCGGAUAGGAGCUCCUGCUGCAUGGUGGGGGUUGGAAAGUUUCGGCGGUUGGGGAUGGACUCGCGGCUUAUCAGCUUGUUGGUGGGGUAGUGGCUUACCAAGGCUUUGACGGGUAGCCGGCCUGAGAGGGUGACCGGCCACAUGGGGACUGGGAUACGGCCCAGACCCCUACGGGGGGCAGGAGGGGGGAAUAUGGCACAAGGGGGGGAAGCCUGAGGCAGAAACGCCGGGGGGGGGAUGACGGCCUUGGGGUUGAAAACCGCUUUCGCCGGUGACGAGGGGGGGGUGGCGGUAAUGGGAAAAGAAACACCGGCUAAUUACGU